rnacentral:RNase_P_RNA from 1 species
AGAGUUGGUCUAGAGGUUGCGGAAUCAUUUUAUCAAUGAUUCCGAGGAAAGUCCGAACUCCCGAAAGACCACACUUGCUGGAUAACGUCCAGUGCGCGCGAGCGUGAGGAUAGUGCCACAGAAAAAUACCGCCCCCUUUUUCAGUGUUGCCAAAGGCACGGCGUAGCCGUCCAGUAAACAGUGAUCAGUAAACAGUAACGAAAGUAAAUUCACUGAUAACUAAUAACUUUCCACUGAUAACUUUCCACUGAUAACUGAUAACUGAUCACUGAUAACUGAUUGGGGGUAAGGGUGCAAAGGUGCGGUAAGAGCGCACCAGCAGUAUCGAGAGGUACUGGCUCGGUAAACCCCGGUGGGGAGCAAGGUGGAGGGACAAAGGUUGGUCUUUUUCCUGUCCCGUUUUUAGGAACCGCUUGAGGUAAUUGGUAACAAUUAUCCCAGAUAGAUAACCUCUAUUCCAACAAAGGUAAAAGCAAUUUUACUGCUGUUGGGAAAUACAGAAUUCGGCUUAUGUUUGACUCUCUCC